GAGUUCUAUAGCAAAAGCAGGAGGUGAUCAUCUAAUUAAAAUCUGCAAGAUAUCACCACCACCAAGCUACUCAAAGGGGAGAGCCUGACUGAAGAGUAACCAGCCAGCCUGUGGUUUGCAUUAGCUCCACUACAACACCCAAACCUUUGUCAGUCAUUGGGUCCCAGAAUAGAGUCCCCCAUACUGAUGAAAGGGAAUUUCAAAAUGUCAAUUUCCCGGAGAUCGGAAAUUCAGCCUCCAGACCAGUUCUACCUGGACAAUAACACGUCUCCAUCUUCGUCACUGCCCCUGCUGGGUUCAGACUAAUUAUCAGAGGCAUAAUGCUGUAUUUUAUUAUCUUCAAAUGGCAGACAGAAAUGGGAUUGAUGUGAUGUAUGACUAUUUUCUUCCAAAGUGAAUACUUUUUUGCAAAUCUCUGGUAUGAUAAAUUGUGCAAAAAAUUGUUGUUUUCCAAAUAGGAGUGCAUUGUUAAAACAGCAUUUAUCUACUUGACACAUUGCAUUUUUAUCAAUCCUUAACUGUCACAACAUUUUGUAAUGAAGGCAUUCUCUGGUCACUAUGUGUUGAUUAAACACAAUAUGGUGCUCAACAUUUUUUAUUAUAGAUAAGGAAAAUGUCUCCUCUCUAGCAUAUAUAUGAAUUGGAUGCAGUAUAAUGUUAGAUUAAUACAUCACAUUUCAGAUUAGCUAUAAAAAUUUCACUGGCUAUUGCAAACUAAGUGAUUUUUUCAUCUGUACAAUUUUGGUAGUAUAAAGGUAAUGU